GAGUUUGAUCUUGGCUCAGAUUGAACGCUGGCGGCAGGCCUAACACAUGCAAGUCGAGCGGUAGAGAGAAGCUUGCUUCUCUUGAGAGCGGCGGACGGGUGAGUAAUGCCUAGGAAUCUGCCUGGUAGUGGGGGAUAACGCUCGGAAACGGACGCUAAUACCGCAUACGUCCUACGGGAGAAAGCAGGGGACCUUCGGGCCUUGCGCUAUCAGAUGAGCCUAGGUCGGAUUAGCUAGUUGGUGAGGUAAUGGCUCACCAAGGCGACGAUCCGUAACUGGUCUGAGGGGAUGAUCAGUCACACUGGAACUGAGACACGGUCCAGACUCCUACGGGAGGCAGCAGUGGGGAAUAUUGGACAAUGGGCGAAAGCCUGAUCCAGCCAUGCCGCGUGUGUGAAGAAGGUCUUCGGAUUGUAAAGCACUUUAAGUUGGGAGGAAGGGCAGUAAAUUAAUACUUUGCUGUUUUGACGUUACCGACAGAAUAAGCACCGGCUAACUCUGUAGCCAGCAG
rnacentral:rRNA from 1 species